rfam:Salmo salar isolate Sally breed double haploid chromosome ssa04, whole genome shotgun sequence.
UCCUGUGUGGCUCAGUUGGUAGAGCUUGGCACUUGCAAUGCCAGAGUUGUGUGUUUGACUCCCACGGGGG